CAUGGUCUUAGCUUGCUAAGUUUGAUGGCGACCGGCGCACGGGUGAGUAACGCGUAUCCAACCUGCCUUACACUCUUGGACAGCCUUCUGAAAGGAAGAUUAAUACAAGAUGGCAUCAUGAGUCCGCAUGUUCACAUGAUUAAAGGUAUUCCGGUAGACGAUGGGGAUGCGUUCCAUUAGGUUGUUGGCGGGGUAACGGCCCACCAAGCCUUCGAUGGAUAGGGGUUCUGAGAGGAAGGUCCCCACAUUGGAACUGAGACACGGUCCAAACUCC
rnacentral:rRNA from 1 species